rnacentral:lncRNA from 1 species
AUGUUCUACCGCAUCCCUCAGAUUCUACCGCGUCCCGCAGAUUCUACUGAGUUCUACCGCAUCCCGCAGAUUCUACUGUGUCAUGCAGAUUCUACUGCGUCCUGCAGAUUCUACCGCGUCCUGCAGAGUUCUACCGCGUCCUGCAGAGUUCUACUGCGUCCUGCAGAGUUCUACCUCGUCCUGCAGAUUCUACUGCGUCCUGCAGAGUUCUACCGCGUCCUAAAAUGUUUUACUGCGUCCUGCAGAUUCUACCGCGUCCUGCAGAUUCUACUGCGUCCUGCAGAUUCUACUGCGUCAUGCAGAGUUCUACCGCGUCCUGCAGAUUCUACUGCGUCCUGCAGAGUUCUACCGCGUCCUAAAAUGUUCUACCGCGUCCUGCAGAGUUCUACUGCGUCCUGCAGAGUUCUACCGCGUCCUGCAGAUUCUACUGCGUCCUGCAGAGUUCUACCGCGUCCUAAAAUGUUUUACUGCGUCCUGCAGAUUCUACUGGAUCCUGCAGAUUCUACUGCGUCCUGCAGAUUCUACUGCGUCCUAAAAUGUUCUACUGCGUCCCGCAGAUUCUACUGGGUCCUGCAGAGUUCUACCGCGUCCUAAAAUGUUCUACUGCGUCCCGCAGAUUCUACUGCGUCCUGCAGAUUCUACUGCGUCCUGCAGAGUUCUACCGUGUCCUAAAAUGUUCUACUGCGUCCCGCAGAGUUCUACCGCGUCCUAAAAUGUUCUACUGCGUCCUGCAGAUUCUACCGCGUCCCGCAGAGUUCUACUGCGUCCUAAAAUGUUCUACUG